GCAAAUGUUCGAUAUGCUUGGCUUGCUUCCUCUAAAGGAUUACUAUCUACAAUCAUGUUGUAUGGACUUGGACAUUGUGGACUAUCCACAACUGAGUCCAAAUAUGGCAUUGGUGUUCAUCUAUAUGCAGCAAACUGCAGUCAAUCAAGUGCAAAAUUUUGUGAUGUUGACGAAAAUGGAGUACGGCACAUGGUUUUUUGUCGUGUAAUAAUGGGAAAAAUGGAGCUCCUUCAACCUGGGAGUCAGCAGUGGCAUCCUAGUAGUGAGAAUUUUGAUAGUGGUGUUGAUGACCUUCAAAAUCCAAGCCAGUAUAUAGUGUGGAAUAUGAAUAUGAACACCCAUAUUUAUCCAGAAUUUGUUGUUAGUUUCAAGAUCUCUUCCAAUGCUGAAGGGAUUUUGGCUGGAAGUGAGAUAAAGCAUGCUGUGUCCGGCAUCACUAAAUCUUCACAAGGUGCUCAGCCAAAUUUACCAAUUGAGUCAUCUACUGUUGAUUUGAAUCUGCCAAUAGAAUCUCCUGUGGUUGAUUUGAAUUUACCUAUGGAGUCUCCUACAGCUGAUGUGCGGGGAAGUGAAAGCCAACCAGAAUCUGGGGAAUCUCUGGGAAAAGCUCCAAGUCUUGGUUCAAGCAACUCAAGGACUCCUAAAUCCCCUUGGAUGCCCUUUCCUAUGUUGUUUUCUGCAAUCUCAAGUAAAGUUCCUCAUGCAGAAAUGGAACGUAUAACUACUUAUUAUGAACUAUUCCAGGCAAAGAAGAUAAGCAGGGGAGAUUUUAUCAAAAGGUUAAGAUGGAGAUGCUUUACUGAAGUCGACGAUAACAAGUCUUCAAUGUGAGAUACCAUUGAAGUGUUUGGUGGGAACAGCCAAGUCAACUGUAGAAGGUUCAACUGGGCUAUAUGAUGGAUCAAAGCAGCACAUGCUUUAUUGAACUGCUAUGUUGGAAUUCUAGGAAAAGCAUCUCCAACUAUCAAUCUUAACCUUUUGAUAAAAUCUCCCCUGCUUAUCUUCUUUGCCUG
rnacentral:misc_RNA from 1 species